rnacentral:rRNA from 1 species
CUUUCCGUAGGUGGAACCUGCGGAAGGAUCCUUA